rnacentral:rRNA from 1 species
AACGAACGCUGGCGGCAGGCUUAACACAUGCAAGUCGAACGCCCCCGCAAGGGGGAGUGGCAGACGGGUGAGUAACACGUGGGAACAUGCCCUUCGGUUCGGAACAACGCCGGGAAACUGGCGCUAAUACCGGAUACGCCCUUGUCGUGAGAUGAGGAGAAAGGCUCGCUGCCGGAGGAUUGGCCCGCGUUCGAUUAGCUUGAUGGCGGGGUAACGGCCCACCAUGGCGACGAUCGAUAGCUGGUCUGAGAGGAUGGCCAGCCACAUUGGGACUGAGACACGGCCCAAACUCCUACGGGAGGCAGCAGUGGGGAAUAUUGGACAAUGGGCGCAAGCCUGAUCCAGCCAUGCCGCGUGAGUGAUGACGGCCUUAGGGUUAUAAAGCUCUUUCGCCGACGAAGAUAAUGACGGUAGUCGGAGAAGAAGCCCCGGCUAACUUCGUGCCAGCCGCCGCGGUAACAC